UUCACGCUUUAAACGUUAAUCUUUCGGCCGCGACGAUUUUCUAAUUCUAAGCAAAUCAGCAUGGGUAGAUCUAAAAGCGACAAGAAAUCAAGGCGAAGUAGAUCAAGAUCAAGAGAAAGACGUAAAGACUAUUCAAGGCAUAGGAAAAGAAGUGUAACAGAAAGCAGUGACAGUGAGGAAGAGAGACGGCGACACAAGAAGCAAAAGAGCUACAGGUCCCAGUCUGGAUCCACACCAGAUAGCAGCAACAGCGAGGAUGAGAGUCGACGGCGACACAAGAAGCAAAAGGAAUACAAGUCAAGGUCUAGGUCCACACCAGAGAGCAAUGACAGUGAGGAAGAGAGACGGCGACACAAGAAGCAAAAGAGCUACAGGUCCCAGUCUAGAUCCACACCAGAUAGCAGCAACAGCGAGGAUGAGAGUCGACGGCGACACAAGAAGCAAAAGGAAUACAAGUCAAGGUCUAGGUCCACACCAGAGAGCAGUGACAGUGAGGAAGAUAGACGGCGACACAAGAAGCAAAAGAAGCACAGAUCAAGGUCUAGAUCCAGAUCAGAGUCCAGGUCUAGAAGCAAGUAUGAAGAGAGAGAUCGCCAUCACAGCCAUAAGCACAAAAAGAGAAGGUCUCGCAGCAGGACAAGAUCUCGCUCUCCUAUAAAACAACCUGAUGUCAGACCGAAGACUGUUGUUGAUGAAAAGAUGAAGAAAUCAGUGAUGAAAGCCACAGAGACAAUGGAAGAGAAGAGGCUGAGACGAAUGGCCAAGAAACAGCUGAAAGACAGGAAGAGGAAAGAACAGAUGGGAUGGGAUGAAGAGAUGAUGGGCUAUACCAAUGAAGAUAACCCUUUUGGAGAUCCUAAUCUAUUGGACACAUUUGUGUGGGUUAAGAAAAAUGAGAAACUGGGCAUCACAGAUGUUGAACCAGACCAGAUGAAGAGACUUGUUAAAAAGAAACAGAUUGAGAACAGGCUGGAGCUUCAGAAAGUGAAACAGAGAAGAAUAGAGAGAGAGAAGGAGAGAGAACAGAGAGACAAAGAACUGGAAGAGUUACAGAGAGCAAGAGAAGCUGAUUAUUACAAGGAAUGGGAGAGACAGGAAGACCAUUUCCAUUUAAAUCAAGCUAAACUAAGGUCUAAGGUCAGAAUCAAAGAUGGCAGAGGCAAACCCAUUGAUCUGCUAGGACAGUACAUCAGUGCUGAAGAUGAUGAAGAUAUCUCUGUUGAGAUGCAGGAACCGUAUAAUGUCCUCAAGGGCUUGACCAUCCCUGAUCUAGAAGAUUUGAUGGAAGACAUCAAGGUGUACGUGGAGCUGGAGCAAGGAAAGAAUGUGGAAUUUUGGAAAGAUAUCACAGUCAUCGCUGAAGAUGAACUUAAUAAACUCAAGAAGAUCACUCCAGAAGGACAGGAGGUUUCUGACCGACGAGAAGGAAUCAAUUCAUCAGUCAGCUCUGAUGUUGCCAACGUGUUUAAGAACAAGACUCAUGUUCAGCUUCUGGCUCUAAAAAGUCAAAUCGUCCAGAGGAUACAGAGUGGCAACGCAGUCGAUAUCGGUUACUGGGAGUCAUUACAGCAGCAGUUAGAUGCACACAUGGCCAGAGCUAGACUAAGGGAACUUCAUCAGGAGAAAUUGAGAAAUAAAUUAGCUGCUCUCAGACAACAGCAAGGAGUAGAAGCAGCACCCCUCUUCCCUUCGGCGGAGUCUACGUCAGCCGGUUGGGACCCCACCGAACAAAAAGAGAAGCCAUUGACAGAGAGCGCUGAGAUAGACAUUCCCUCCGAGGAUGAUGAAGAAGAGGAAGAGAAGAAAGAAGAUGAAGCAAAGCCUGGUUCAUCGGCAGAUGUAGAGGGCGCUGUAGGAGGCGAAGAAGGAGCAGUGGGCGGAGCUGCAGCAGAAGAAGAGCCAGAGUCCAUUUUGACUGAAGAGGAUCUUGCAGAGGAGAGCUAUGUGGAGUACAUCCAAGGUAACUACAGCCCCAGGCUCCUGGAGCAGAAGGACCUCUCUAUAGAGAUAUUUGUGCAGGAUCCGGACGAGGAUAAAUUCAAGCUGGAGACGGCAAGGAAACAUCUUAUCAGUACAGGAUCAGCGGAGACUGAUGCUGAGACAGAAUUUAUCAAGAAAGCCAAGCAAGAAAUGGGUAAAGACGAAUCAACCUUUGCCGUGGAGGUCAACUUGGAACAAAAGCCAUACAUGUGGUCUGACAAGUACAGACCUCGUAAGCCCAGAUUCUUCAACCGUGUGCACACUGGCUUUGAGUGGAACAAGUACAACCAGACUCAUUACGACAUGGACAAUCCACCCCCAAAGAUUGUACAAGGGUACAAGUUUAAUAUAUUCUUUCCUGACCUCAUUGACAAGAGGAAAACUCCAGAGUACACGUUAACACCAAUCGCUCAAACACCUGACUUUGGCAUUCUAACAUUCCAUGCAGGCCCACCUUAUGAGGACAUAGCCUUCAAGAUCGUAAAUCGUGAAUGGGAGUACUCUCAUCGCCAUGGUUUCCGAUGUCAGUUCAGCAAUAGUAUCUUCCAGUUAUGGUUCCGAUUCAAGAGAUACAGAUACAGGAGAUGAAGACACAGACUCAAGCUGGUUAGCUCAAGAGAAUGAAGACCUGAACUCUAGCUAUUUGAAAACCAUGUUCCAAUGGGGAUCCCUUGUAGAAUGGCUUGAUGAAGCAAGACAGGUGAUCAUUUCAUAAGAAACUUCUGGAUCUCAAUGUUGUACAGGAAGGUGAAGACUUAUUCAAGCUGCACUGUCAGAGCCAAGGAGGUCAACACGAGGAAUUCACCUUGCGAAUGGAUUUCUGGGCACCCUUUCAUGAAGCUUAUCAGCAACGAGUUAUCAUUCUCUGUCAGUUAGCAUUGUAGCAAUUAUAGAUCAGUGUGUCUCAGCAAAUCAAAACCAAGGAUACACUGAAUUUCUCAAGAGCUGGCAAUCUAGUCAAUGCUGAUAACUUUAAGGUAACACUCCGGGGCUCAGCUGCAGCAGUAUGAGCAGCUCCGAUCAUGUCAAUCCACCUUUCAGGUUGUUAAAGACUAUUUGUAACAAGUUUUAAGUAUAAAUGCAGAUGAGGUUGGUUAAAGGCCACCACACACACCUUACGAUUGGUCCAAUCUGAUUUUGGAACAAAUCGCAUUUUUCUCAUUUUCUGAUAUGUGAAUGAAGAGUAUCUUUUUGAGGUUCAAAUUAACCAAAAGAAUAUUAAUAUAACAAUUGUUUUUAAUGAUAGCAAGCCUUUAUUUUGGCGCAAAGGCCAAAUUAGUUACAAAUCAUAGCUAAUGGUACGAUUGCUACGACAUCAUUAAGAGUAUGACUAGAUAUUAAAUUUUCUUUUAUAUUAAGGAUAGCAUCGUCACAGAUUUGAACAUAGGUAUUCGCACAAUGAUUUAGAACACUGCGCCGUAAGAUAUGCCAUGUUUAAAUAUUAGCAUCAAAUUCUACUGCAUUUUAUUCCAAAAUCGGGUUGCAGAACAAUCGUAAGGUCUGCGGUGGCCUUAAGAGAAGGAAAAGUAAUCCUUUAAAAAUAAUAGGUAUAAGCUCAGCCUUUCCAAGACUGACAGCCUAUCUAUUCAUUUUUGUAUACACUCAUAUGCUUUUCACAUUGCAUUUCCUUAAACUUAUACUAUCCUUAACCCCAUA
rnacentral:misc_RNA from 1 species